CAUAGGAGGGGGGGAGAGGUGGACGGGAAAUUAUUUUGUAUACAACUUGUCCAGAAUUUUUAAUAUGCUUUUGCUUUUGGGAGGGCUGUUUUUUUACACCCUGGAAUCUCCUGCGGCGUUUUUUUUAGAGAUUCCAGUUCAGGUUUACUGCCUGUGGCUUUUUCGGUGUUACCAAGCCACACCAGCUCCGGAGUUACAAAGGCACUCUGUUGGAUUUUACUGGACAGUUAAGCUUUGCAAAUGUAAUUUUAGUUUUGUAACUUGUAUUGCC